rnacentral:rRNA from 1 species
UACAGAGGGUGCAAGCGUUGUUCGGAAUCAUUGGGCGUAAAGGGCGUGUAGGCGGUCUGUUAAGUCAUGUGUGAAAUCCCUCGGCUCAACCGGGGAACGACGCAUGAAACUGACAAGCUAGAGUACCAAAGAGGGGGGUGGAAUUCCCGGUGUAGCGGUGAAAUGCGCAGAUAUCGGGAGGAACACCUAUGGCGAAGGCAGCUCGCUGGGACGUUACUGACGCUGAGACGCGAAAGCGUGGGGAGCAAACAGG